rnacentral:rRNA from 1 species
CCCGCAACGAGCGCAACCCCCGCCGUUAGUUGCCAGCGGUUCGGCCGGGCACUCUAACGGGACUGCCCGCGAAAGCGGGAGGAAGGAGGGGACGACGUCUGGUCAGCAUGGCCCUUACGGCCUGGGCGACACACGUGCUACAAUGCCCACUACAAAGCGAUGCCACCCGGCAACGGGGAGCUAAUCGCAAAAAGGUGGGCCCAGUUCGGAUUGGGGUCUGCAACCCGACCCCAUGAAGCCGGAAUCGCUAGUAAUCGCGGAUCAGCCAUGCCGCGGUGAAUACGUUCCCGGGCCUU